rnacentral:rRNA from 1 species
GACGAACGCUGGCGGCGUGCCUAAUACAUGCAAGUCGAGCGGAGUUGAAAAAAAGUUUACUUUUUUUCUUCUCAGCGGCGGACGGGUGAGUAACACGUGGGCAACCUGCCCUGUAGACUGGGAUAACUUCGGGAAACCGAAGCUAAUACCGGAUAAUCAUAGAAGUUGCAUAGCUUCUAUGUAAAAGUUGGGUUUACCUAACACUACAGGAUGGGCCCGCGUCGCAUUAGCUAGUUGGUAAGGUAACGGCUUACCAAGGCGACGAUGCGUAGCCGACCUGAGAGGGUGAUCGGCCACACUGGGACUGAGACACGGCCCAGACUCCUACGGGAGGCAGCAGUAGGGAAUCUUCCGCAAUGGACGAAAGUCUGACGGAGCAACGCCGCGUGAGCGAUGAAGGGCCUUUCGGGUCGUAAAAGCUC